rnacentral:rRNA from 1 species
UAGUCCACGCCGUAAACGAUGAUUACUGGUUGUAGGCGAUACAUUGUCUGUGACUGAGCGAAAGUAUUAAGUAAUCCACCUGGGGAGUACGUCGGCAACGAUGAAACUCAAAGGAAUUGACGGGGGCCCGCACAAGCGGAGGAACAUGUGGUUUAAUUCGAUGAUACGCGAGGAACCUUACCUGGACUUAAAUGUAGAUUGCAUAGAGUGGAGACAUUCUUUUCUUCGGACUAUCUACAAGGUGCUGCAUGGUUGUCGUCAGCUCGUGCCGUGAGGUGUCGGGUUAAGUCCCAUAACGAGCGCAACCCCUAUCGUUAGUUGCUAGCAGGUAAUGCUGAGAACUCUAGCGAGACUGCCACCGUAAGGUGUGAGGAAGGUAAGGAUGACGUCAAGUCAGCAUGCCCCUUAUGCUCUGGGCUACACACGUGCUACAAUGGCCGUGACAAAGAGUUGCUACUUUGUGAAAACAAGCUAAAUCUCAUAAACGCGG